UACGGAGGAUCCGAGCGUUAUCCGGAUUUAUUGGGUUUAAAGGGUGCGCAGGCGGGAGAUUAAGUCGGCGGUGAAAUUUUGCAGCUCAACUGUAAAAGUGCCUUCGAUACUGGUUUCCUUGAGUGUGGAUGAAGUAGGCGGAAUUUGUGGCGUAGCGGUGAAAUGCUUAGAUAUCACGAGGAACUCCGAUUGCGCAGGCAGCUUACUAAACCACUACUGACGCUCAGGCACGAAGGCGUGGGGAUCAAACAGGAUUAGAUACCCUGGUA
rnacentral:rRNA from 1 species